CUUCGAGUUGCAGCUCUGAAGAACCCUAGUACAACAAUAACUCUAAACCCUUUUAACCAGAUCGAUCACAGGACCACCAUCAGUUUCUUCACUUCUCAAGACACCAUCUCAUAUUCAAAAGCAAACCCUAGUCUCUUCUUCAACCGACUUCUUCUUAAUCAAGAGCAUCAAUUCAACAGAAUCAUCUUCAGAUCCCCUUUCACAAAAUCUAUUGAACCACAUAAACCCUAGUUCUAUCAACAGCUAAUAAUCAUUUUGUUCUGUAUAUAUGUUGGUUUUAGGUUUAUGUUUGCUAAUAGAUUUCAGUUGGAAUUUUUAUUGCAGUUGGAAGCAUCGAUCUGAAAUUUUAGGUCAUUUGUGAGAUUUGGAAGUAUCGAUAUGAUAAUCAGAUAAUAAGUAAGAGGGGGGAAAACAAGAAUGUUCCCGAAGUUCCUGUUGUAGAACAGAAGGUUCUUGAUACGACAAGCAAUGAACCAUAGGUUCCUCAUGGGUCAAUAUGUCAAAUAUUGCACAAGUUACCAAAAACUAUCAUGAAUAUCAAACGAUAAUGGCUGUGCUUAGGAAGCGAACCAAUGAUACUGGCAAAAAUUGGCGCCACGUGUACAAAACAUUAUCCGAUUUUUUCAAUAUAUCGACUCUAGUGGGAGGGACCAGGGAAGUAAUGUCAUAAAGAAAUCUCAGUUUUUGGUGGCACUAGUGAUCGAUAAAGAAAGAAUUCAAGAAGCCAGACAGAAAGCACUUGCCAACAGGGAUAAAUAUUCCUAGAUAACCAUGAUUAGCUCUCAUGUAUGCUUUGUGUUGCUCAAGAAUGAGAUUCUCAUUAUUUGAAGUUUCAGAAACUUAUGGAUUCGUAGCACAAACUCACCCAGGGGAAUGUAUAAGCUCUGUUCAGGAGGUUAUGAGGAUGAAGAUCGUUACGGAAGUAGAGACGAUGACCAAAAUGGUUACAGAAGAGAGAAUAUGGCUAUAAGGAUGAUGACAUAAACAAUAGAGGUGGUGAUUCAUACAGUCGCGAUGGAGACCGUUAUGAUAGAGAUUCUGAUGGCGGUUACAAGGAAGAGGAUUAUAAUAGAGGAAGAAGUCGAAGUAAUGAAGACAUUCAGUCUGACCAGAGAAGUAGGAGUUCUGAUAGAUACAUGGAAUGUGGUUAUGAUGACGAUGGUCGUCAUUCAUCAAGGUAGUUGGGCUCAAGUCGAAAAGAAUUACUCUGGUGAUAUUGUAGCAGUAACUGAAUCUAGCUAUGAUUUGCAGAGGAAAUUAGUUAAGCAAGCGGAGUCUCGUAAUACUUCUGGUGAUAUUUUAGUCUUUCUUUCCCUGUUUUUCAAUGCCUCAGUCAGUUGACACAACAAACUAGGUCACCCAUCCAUUUAUGAACAUCAACAUAGAUUGAAUAUUGCAUGUCAGACACAAAAUUUUAGGUUCAGUAAGUUUACUUGUGAACAUUUGUAUCAAUUGAAGAAUUAUUUCUUUUAUAAUAUUAUCUAGUGGUGAUUCU